rnacentral:rRNA from 1 species
CAUGCAAGUCGAGCGGAUGACGGGAGCUUGCUCCUUGAUUCAGCGGCGGACGGGUGAGUAAUGCCUAGGAAUCUGCCUGGUAGUGGGGGACAACGUUUCGAAAGGAACGCUAAUACCGCAUACGUCCUACGGGAGAAAGCAGGGGACCUUCGGGCCUUGCGCUAUCAGAUGAGCCUAGGUCGGAUUAGCUAGUUGGUGGGGUAAUGGCUCACCAAGGCGACGAUCCGUAACUGGUCUGAGAGGAUGAUCAGUCACACUGGAACUGAGACACGGUCCAGACUCCUACGGGAGGCAGCAGUGGGGAAUAUUGGACAAUGGGCGAAAGCCUGAUCCAGCCAUGCCGCGUGUGUGAAGAAGGUCUUCGGAUUGUAAAGCACUUUAAGUUGGGAGGAAGGGCAGUAAGUUAAUACCUUGCUGUUUUGACGUUACCGACAGAAUAAGCACCGGCUAACUCUGUGCCAGCAGCCGCGGU